rnacentral:RNase_P_RNA from 1 species
UGAGUAAGUCAGACAGUCGCAUGUGCAGUGCCGAAAGGCAGUAUAUGAGGAAAGUCCGGGCAUCACAGGGCAGGGUGCCGGAGAAAUCCCGGUGGAGGCGACUCUAAGGAAAGUGCAACAGAAAAUUACCGCCGGAGGGAUUUUGUCUUCAGACAAGAUGAAAAAAGAAUAGUGAAGAAGGAAAAGGUGUAAAUACACAGCAUUUGUAUAAAAGAAGAAAAUCGACAGAUUUUCAACCACACUUAUUCCUUAUUAACUAUUACUUAUUACCUUAAGGAUUUUGUCUUCAGACAAAAUCCUUCCGGUAAGGGUGAAAAGGCGAGGUAAGAGCUCACCGCGGGUUGGGAGAUCAACCCGGCGUGUAAACCCCACCUGAUGCAACACCGUAUAAGAGAUGUUAUGUUUGCCCGAUAAUCUCACAGGUGGCUAGAGCUGUAUGGAAACAUACAGAGUAGAUAGAUGGCUGUCUAAUACAGAACCCGGCUUAUAGAUUUACUCAUACC